rnacentral:lncRNA from 1 species
UUUUAAAGCAGUUUGAAUAUUGUGACUGACAAAUACAGAGGAUAUUUUUCAUAGCUUUAUAUUUUGUGAAACUGACAUUAAAUUCAUAAUGCAGGUAAGACAAGUAUUUGGCAACAUAUUGGUAUGAAAUGUGAUGUGGUAUGAAUGUCAAUGGGACAACUCUCUUCAAGAGAUCAUGUGAAGUAGAAAUUACCAACAAUGAGAGAAUCCCUGCCGCAUAGUAUGAUGCAAAAUGCCUCAAUAUGUAAAGCGUUGAUCAUUUCAAACGAGAAAAAUAAUGUUGGAUUUAUCAAGAAAUAAAUUAUAGCUACAAUACUUAACACAAAAUGCAUAUUCAAAACAGUACAAAUAUAUAAAAGCUACACACGUAAAAAACAACAUUGAAUUUAAGGUUCCUAAUAAAAAAUUGUGUAUUGUCGCUGUUUACACGUCCUCACAGUUAAACAUAUUCGAGUUACUUUCAUAUUUGUUUUUUGUUUUCCUAUUGUAUUUAAAAUAUGCAUUUCCAAAGAAAACAUUUGACCGGUGAUAGUUUUAUAUUUAAACUCGUGCAUCCAUUUUUUACUUCAACAAUAUCGACUUUAACUAUUCGAAAAUUAAACGGGAUGUUUUAUUCCUUCCAAAAAUGUCAAUCAAACAUGCAAGUAGGUCAUACACACAAUCUGAAAUCUAUAUGGACAAUCAUCUAGUAUGUGUUGAUAAAAAUGAAUAUAGAACAUUUUAGGACAGCAAAAAGGUGUGUCCCUACCUAGUGUUUUGUAGCCAUAAAAUACCGAAAGCAGAAACAUUUUAAUAACAAAUCAGACCUUUUCAUAGUGAUGUUUAUAUCUAUUUCAGAUGUGUAUGCUCCUAGUUCUUAUGAUAUCAGAGACAUUAAAUGCGGGUUAUUUUAAGUGGAUAACAAAAGCUAUUUCGACGCAAAACCUAAUGUGUCCACUUUCUUGCAGGGCGAAAACUGGACUUUACGGACAUUUUGGAGGUUCCACUGUUAUUAAAUGUUGUGCAUCCCAAUCAUGCCC